rnacentral:rRNA from 1 species
CGGCUUGUCGCGUCGACCGUGAAAACUUGGGGCUCAACCCCAAGCCUGCGGUCGAUACGGGCAGGCUAGAGUUCGGUAGGGGAGACUGGAAUUCCUGGUGUAGCGGUGAAAUGCGCAGAUAUCAGGAGGAACACCGGUGGCGAAGGCGGGUCUCUGGGCCGAUACUGACGCUGAGGAGCGAAAGCGUGGGGAGCGAACAGGAUUAGAUACCCUGGUAGUCCACGCUGUAAACGUUGGGCGCUAGGUGUGGGGGG